rnacentral:lncRNA from 1 species
AUAAUUUGUAGUUAAUCAUUAUCUUAAAAUAAAUUUGUAAGUGGUGGUUAUAUGAGAAAAUAAAUUUGUAAGUGGUGGUUAUAUGAGGAGUGUUUUUGAUUUACUACAAAAAAUACUCGUUUUGAUGUUGAAAUCUAGAUACAGGUACACCAGUCUUCAUUUUAGUUCUUUAAAUUUUGGACUCAAAAAGAGAUGUGACAAAGCACAAUGAAAAUUAGUUUUUUCUUCUACUUUGCAAAUUAAG